rnacentral:misc_RNA from 1 species
GACUGCUUCCUUCUUCUUCUUCUAUAGAUUACAUACUAUAUAUUUAUCACCCUUAUUUUCCACAACCACUGUAUAAAUAGCACAUGCCCCCAUCAUUUUAGUGUAUGCAGUGGUCAUCAAGAUUUUAAUCACUAAGCUUCUUGACUACAUGUCUUAUUCUCCUUCCUGCUUAAUUCCUGGCACGUCUUCCCUGGGUACAAUUGUUUUUUUCCUUGUCUUUACCCUGUUCUUUUCUGUUGAAGGUUCUUCACUCUUGUUGCUUGAUGGAUAUAAAAAUUUAGAGAAAACCUUGUUGCUUUCAAUUUAUUUGCAGUCAUGGAUGAAGCUUCACCGUUUUUCUCAUCUCUUGAGUCUGAUUUUUCUACUGGGUAUUUAGAAGAUGCU